rnacentral:tRNA from 1 species
UCCCUCAUAGCUCAGUUGGUAAAGAAUCUGCCUGCAAUGCAGGAGACACAGGUUCAAUUCCUGGGUGGGAA